UGCACUGACCUGCUUGGUCCUGGUCCAUCUGGGGCUGCUCAGCUGAGGGUCCAGCAGGGUUCCUGCUGCCCAGCGUUCAGGAAGACCUGUGGUGUUCCCCCAAACUCUGUUGCCCCCAAAGGUCUCACUUUCCAAAUAGUGACUUUGUUGGGUUUCGACUGCCCUCUGCAUGUGAAUCCCACGUGGCUGUGUGUGGAGCUGUGCAAAUGGGGACCCUCUGGCUAUCCUUGAAGGAGAUGCCCCUUUUGGAAGUGGCCAUCUGAGAGAAGAUCAGAAAGAGCAGCGAGCCAAAAGGACUGAAAAAUGGGGAAAUAUUCUAGAGAAGAAAUAAGGAUUAAUGUGUGGUGGGGUUUUUUCCUGAUUUACUUUAGACCUUUCCUGUGCCUGUACAUCAGACCGAUUUCCUGAACAUCUUUCUCUUCCCUCUGCGCCUGCCUGAACCGGCUCUGCUGGUGGCUUCAGGGAAGGAGAAGCAGCUGGAUGGCACCAGGAGACAAGGUGCUCUCCUAUGUGAAACAUGCAAAGGUGCCAGAGCAGCCCAGGACACCUGAAAAUAGCAUUUCUUCCUAAAGGAGCAGCAAUCCUCCUGUGACCCCAAGCCCCACUAACAGCCUCCAAAGCAGCUCCCAUGGGAAGCGGGAUUCGGUCAGAGAAGGAGGGUGCCAAUUCCUGGGAAGUGUCCUCGUGUCUCCGGUUAGCAGCAAAGGGCUCUCCUGGAGACUCUUCUACUACUGCUGCUAUGAGCUGUAGCAGCCUCGGACCUGGGGGCUCAGUCUUUGCCCGGAUCUGCUGGUUUGUCACGGCAGCUCCUGCGCAGGAGGGCGGACAGCAAUGGGACGUGACCGCCCAGGGCUUGGAGGACAAGGAGCAGAUGUAACCAAGGACCACGGAGACCAGCGAGUGCCGGAGUGCCAGGCAGUUCUGCUGCCCUCACAUCAGUCUGUGACCGUGGGGGCUCUCUGCAAGACACGCUGCAAGGUGAAGAGUAAAUGGAGAAUCCUGGAAGUUAACAUGGCUCUUCUCAGUUUUUGCCUUAUGGACACCCAAGUAAGGAAUGGAUUCCAAAAGGAAGCCUUCGAUAUACAAGGGUUCAAAUAUUAGCACUUAAAAUUAUUGGUCUGGAAAGUGUUCUGUUUCAUUUUGAUGUUUUAUUUAAGCAAACAAAAAAAAAAGGGGAGAAAAUGACUUCUCUAAUUUUGCUUUGUUGACAAUUUUCACGUUUUUCUAUAGUGUGGAGAAUACUAGAAGAAAGUUUCAUCAA